GACGAACGCUGGCGGCGUGCUUAACACAUGCAAGUCGAACGAUGAAGCCGGAGCUUGCUCUGGUGAAUUAGUGGCGAACGGGUGAGUAACACGUGAGUAACCUGCCCUUGACUCUGGGAUAACUGCGGGAAACUGUAGCUAAUACCGGAUACGACCCUCGGAGGCAUCUCCUGGGGGUGGAAAGAAUUUCGGUCAAGGAUGGACUCGCGGCCUAUCAGCUAGUUGGUGAGGUAAAGGCUCACCAAGGCGACGACGGGUAACCGGCCUGAGAGGGGAAACGGUCACAAUGGGACUGAGACACGGCACAGACUCCUACGGGAGGCAGCAGUGGGGAAUAUUGCACAAUGGGCGCAAGCCUGAUGCAGCGACGCCGCGUGAGGGAUGAAGGCCUUCGGGUUGUAAACCUCUUUGAGCAGGGAAGAAGCGAAAGUGACGGUACCUGCAGAAAAAGCACCGGCUAACUAUGUGCCAGCCGCCGCAGUAA
rnacentral:rRNA from 1 species